rnacentral:tRNA from 1 species
GACAUCCUGGUCAACGUGGACGCGCGCCGCUCCGACCGGCCCGGCAUAUACAAGAGUUCGGUGCUCGUGGGUCCCG